rnacentral:lncRNA from 1 species
GCUUCCUCCUCAUCUUCUCUUGCUACCACCAUGUAAGAAGUGCCUUUCAGCUCCCACCAUAAUUCUGACAUCUCCUCAGCCAUGUGGAACUGUAAUGCUGAUGCUGCUGAUCUGGGGGCAAUACUUUAAGAACCACUGGACUGUAACAAUGUCAAACCUGCCUGAUGAGAAGAAUCACCUGGAAGGUUUAAAAAAAUGCAAAAUCCUCGGCCCCAUGCCAGACUUUCUGACUCAACCUCCAGGGAAGAGCCUAAAAUUUUCUAUUUCAACAAUCCUGCCUGAUUAAUAUGAUUAGCAAGAAUUUGUUUGUACCAGCUCUAUGCCAUACACCGUGAUAGACACACCAGACGUGGAAGUGAGAAAUAUGGUUCCCAUCUUGGAUAGCAAAGAAGAUGGACAAAUAAACCAACAAAUUAAACACAGAAAAACGUUUUCUAAAGGAAGGAGGUUUCUUGAAGGAAGUGGUACUUCUGUUGAAAUAUGAAAGAUGAGUGAGGGUUAGUCACAUACAGAAAGGGAGAAGGGAGUAUCCAAUGUAGAUAGAACAGCAUAUGAAAAGCACAGAGAUGUGAGAGAGCAGGUAGGCAUUGCUGUAAAUCCAGGUGGAUGUAAAAAAAAUCAGAGCCUUGCAGGAACUAGGUUGUAGAAAGCUCUGUGGACUAAGUUUAGUUGGUUUAACUUUAUCCUAAAAGUCACAGGAAAAUAUUAAAGAUGUUUAAAAAAGAAAAAAAAGCAGAUUUUCAUUUUAUUAACAAAACAUAACUCUGGCAGCAGGUGUGGAAAAUGGAUGGAGGGGCCAGGACCAGAAGAAAGACACCUGUUACUGAAGCAAUGCAGAUGGGAAAUGAUGGAGACCUAGAUGUAGACCAUGCCAGCAAAGACGGAGGGGCAGAAUUGAGUAAUACUUGUAGAACUAAUGUAACUUACAGGAUGAUUAGAUACAUAGAAAGGAGACUAACUCAAUCCUUUAUUUUUCUUCCUUUUUCAAAAGUUUUUUUAAGACUAUAUUACUAUCUUUUCCCCAUUCCCUCCAUACUUAAUAUGACAGUUAGCUAAUUUUACUUGAAUACCUAUGUCUUAUUCUUUACCAACACCAUCAAGCAGCAGCAUCUCCCUACCACCACCACAACAAGCAGCAAGUGUUUAUGGAGCACCUCUUAAUAAAUUAUCCUUUGUCUUGUUUUGUGACAAAUUUACAUUCCUCUCUGCUUUACUUUUGCUUUAUCCUGUAUUUUUCAUUGUUCUGUGGUUUAGCGUGUAUUUUCUUCUGCUCUUCCAGGACCAUAGGAUUUCAGAGCUUGUUACUUAAGUUCUCAGGUUUUUGAUAUGUACUUGGAAUUUUAUUUUUUACUACUUUCUCAAAGUAAUGCUCCACAAAUAUUUCUUAUGUAAUUCCAAUGCAUCUAAAGAGAUUUAGCAUUUGAGUUUUAUGUUAAACCAAUAAACUGAUUAAAGCCAUAAUUAGCAAUCACCAACUUUUAUCUGGAAAUAAACUGAAAACUAUUAUUCACUUACUAAGGCUCUGGUGUACUUAUUUCUGUAAAGAGAACACUAUACUUUGCUCAAAGAAGUAAUACAAUUUAUAUUUUCUCCUGUUCUCAUGUGUGCAAAUUAUGUUCAUUUUAUUGUACAGGCUAUAUAUCUUCUGCAAUACCUUCAUCUGCCUGUAGGUGUAAAGUUAAAAUUCAGCUCUUCUG